GAGCAUGCGCGUCCCUUCUCAACGCCUACUGCUCCCCGAUGGCCGAAGGGAGGCGGUGCCGGGCUCCGGGUGCUCAGGGGCGGACACAACCCGGGGAGGGAAACACAGCUGAGCCGAAGGUUGCUUUUCGCCUCGGAUUUAAAGGAGAUCUGCGUGAUGCUUGUUUUAAGUCACGCAGAGCUCGGUUACGCUAAUGCUGGCCUUCUCUGGGAGGCGGGAUCCUGCUGCCAGCUGCGGGCCGAGGUCCGAAGCUUGUGUCUUCAGCUGUGAAUCAUCCCUCAAGUAUUAGCUCUGGCGCACUGUGUACCCGACUCCCUGCCCGGCUCUGUCCUCAGGGAGCUCGGGAUAAGACCGCGUCCAGGGGUUCAGCUGUGGGGGACGACAGCGACGGUCCAGGCGCGGGUAAAAUUCCACGUGCCCCCGACUCAGACUGGGGAGACGAGCAAGGUGACACCUCCUAUAGGACGGAGCCGUGACCGCCGAGGACGCGGGCUGCGCGGGACUGGUGGGAAGGAUUUGAGCAGCCCUCCUCGGAGACCAGGUCCUGCCUGGCGUCGUGCAGCGCGGCCCCAGGACAGGACCCCCUGGCCCGCCGGGGCCCGACACGCGAGGGCCCGGGUCGAGGCGGUGGGUGAAGGCGCCAGGCAGUCCCGGCGCCCGCGCUAAGGAGGCGGAGGGCAGGAUGAAAAUGAAUGCCUGGCGUACGGUGUUUUAUGUUUUUUUAAGUUUCCACAAGUUGUGGCAACAGAAGGACUACUCCAGGAAGAGGAGGAAAACAGACACUGCUAAACUAUCCUACAAAAACGUGUUCGAGGAAGAGGAAGGAGGCUGGUGGAAUGGGGACAAAGUGAAUAAGGAGGAGAAAAAUAGGGGACGAGGAUCGUUCACACUGCUGUGUUGAGGAGAGACUGCCGGAGGCGGAGGGAAACUUACAUGGGUAGCAGAGGAGGGAGAUGUCGAGUAUCACUUGUGCUCUGAGACCAGCUGCACAGCCGUGGCCCACCAGACGGAGGAGUGUUUCCAGACAAAGCAGGUGAGGCGCAUCUGCGAGGCGUGUGCGCAGCCGGAGGGGAUGCCACGGUGUCCCACCUUCAGGAUGGAGUGUCGACCACUGAUGACUGGUUGCAUUGCUUUCUGGGAACUGCUCUUAGCUGAAGGGUGCUGCCUUGCCCAAGGGUACCGUCCCCACCCCUAGGGACACCUGCAUCCAGUGACUAGUUAAAUAGGGAUAAGAAGAUUUGGGAUGACUCCAAGGAGACAUCCCACGGCCCCUGUUGUAGCUGUGCCAUAGUUCAACUUCUUCUUCUGCCCGAUUCUGCCUCCCUGGCUCCCUUCUAGCUGUCCCCCGGAGCAGUCCUCACACAACGUAACCUUGAGAGUCUGUUUCCCCAGAAACCUGAACUGAGACAGUGAUUCUGUAAAGAUGUAAAUAAAACCAGGCCAUUUCUCAACGUAAAACCCUGGGAUAGCUCACCGGUUUCCUAACAGGGAAACCAAAAUCCUUGGCCUAUAGGCCCUAUGUGAUCUGCAGCCCUGUACCCCUCUCACCUCGGCUCGGAGCACCUCCCCCUCGUUUGCUUCGUUCCAGAGCUGCACUGCCCUUUUGGCCACCCUCGAAGAUGACAGUGGAGAGGGGCAGAGGAAGAGGGAGAAGGAGAGAGAGAAUCUCAAGCAGACUCCCAGCUGAGUGCGGAGCCUGACGGGGCUCGACCUCAGGACCCUGAGAUCAUGACAUGAGCCGAAACCAAGAGUCUGACGCUUAACCGACUGAGCCACGCAGGCAUCCCGUGAUCCGUACAUUGGUUGAACGAAUGGAUGAAUGAAUGAGUUUGGGAAUCAUUAUCAAGGUGACUGUAGUAGAAUUCAAGAGGUGUGGUUACCCAGGGAGAGGGUGCUGAGCAAAGACGAACAGAGACAUGAGCAUUUAGGUGCAAGCAGAGGAAGAGGAAAUUACAAAGGACACUGAGAAGAAGCCAGAACACAGGAGAAAAACAGGAGAUUGUGUUACAGAAGACAAGAGAAGGUGAGAAGCUCUGCACUACAGUGACAGGAACAGGAACCCCGACAGCUCGCUCAGCUCUGACAGAUGCCUCGAGUCCUUAUAAAAGCAGCCUUGACGCCUGUUGAUUGCAGCACUAUUCACAACCCCCAAGAGGUGGAAGCAACCUCCUGUGGGGGAGGGAUGAAUGGAUUAACAACCUGUGGUAUAUACAUACGAUGGAACGUUAUUCAACCUUAAAAAAGAAGGAUCGCAUCAAAGGCGGGACAUAGAUGAACCUGGAGAACAUUAUGCUGAGUGAAAUCAGCCAGUCACCAAAGGACACAUACUGCAUGAUUCCACUGAUCUGAGGUCUCGCAAGUAUUCCAUAAAACCUCUGAUGUGAAUGGAGGAGUGAGCACGAUCCAAGGAGACAUUCUAAACACUGCCCCAGCCCUGUGUCUACAGAGCGCAGCUGUUCCUGAUUCUGACCCUCUUCUUGGAGCUUGAUGGCAUUUGUGGCAACUUCACCAUAUAAAUGCAGCUUUAUUGGCUGCCUCACCACCUAAGGAUCUCUCUGAAGCAGGACAUUUUUAUUAAAAAACAAACAAAACAGAAACAAAAGCUACAGCGUCUCUUCAAACUGAAGAGCCGUCCAAUGUGUCCAUUUUUCUUCUUCUGAGAGCUCAUUAUAUUACACAAUUUACUUCUCUUCCCUGUUCUCACUGAAAUCUCAAGCUAGAGUCGUUGGACACUUGUCUACUCCUGACCAUGACUCCUGCGCAGGUGCAGUCCUGGGAGGGUAGGUCCCCUUUCUGUGCCCUUUCUGCCCUCUUGGAUUCUUGGAUGACAUAGUGGUUGAGAACAGGCUCUGAAGUUAGUCUCCCUAAGUUCGAAUCGCAGCUCUUCUAUUUACGGAUUGUGUUCUGUGAACUUGAGCCGGUGACUUAAUGGACUAUUCACAACCAAUCGUGAAACUUUCAGGAAUUUUGCAAACCUGUUGAUGAACUUGAAAUUGGCCUGGAGAGGAGUAUCUAUGCCACGGAAGCUGGCAAAUGCUGCAGAUGGGUCCCUGCCCCCUUCCUCAACCUAGCUGUGGCCAUGAAGCAGCACGUUACUGUUUCUUCUUUAUCUAUGGAAUAGGAGUAAUAAUAGUGCAUAUCUCAUGGAGAAUUUGGGGGCAGUUAUGUGAAAUAUGCUUACUUGUGCGUGCUGAGUACUCAGUAAUUGUGAGCUUCUCUGGGUGUCUCGCCCAUUUAACAUGGUGCAAAGUCUUCCUGCUUCGUGUGUUCCUUUCCGCCAUAACCUCAAACAUUGAAUCAGCCAGAUCCAGCACAUACAUUGGUAAUGAAAUUUUUAAAAAUCCCUUAGACUAAUUAGGGGUUUAAAACAACUAGCUCGUAAUUGAUAGGAAAUCAAUGGUCUGAUGUUGUUUAUGAGGCAGACGGCGAUGGGAGGACACGUAUAUUAUAAAAUUAGAAUUCUUCCAAAUUAAGCACUGAUUACUGUUGCUAUACGUAUUUCAGUUGGCUAGAGGUUAAAAGAAUUUCUUUUCUGGAAUGUCUAUUCUCUGUCUCCCAGUUUUAGGCAAAGACUGUUAAGAUAGUUUAUUACGGCAUUUGGUAAUUCAGCAAGCAAACAUGCUCUAAAAAGUGUAAAUAGCUGUGUUGAAGUAAAAUGUGCUGAAAAUUCACAUGAACCAUAUGCAAGGUUAUAAAGACUUUGGUGAGGGGCACCUGGUUGGCUCAUCAGUGGAGCAUGUUACUCUUGAU